AACGGCCGUACCAUGCUGAAUAUACCGGUUCUCGUUAGAUCACCGAAGUUAAGCAUCAUUGGGCGCGGUCAGUUCUUGGGUGGGUGACCACCUGGGAC
rnacentral:rRNA from 1 species